AAUCAACGCUGGCGGCGCGCUUAACACAUGCAAGUCGAACGAGAAAGGGAGCAAUCCUGAGUAAAGUGGCGUACUGGUGAGUAACACGUGGAUAUCUACCUCUUGGUGGGGAAUAACCUGGGGAAACCUGGGCUAAUACCGCAUAAGUUCGUGAGAAGAAAGGCGCAAGUCGCCGAGAGAGGAGUCCGCGGUCGAUUAGGUAGUUGGCAGGGUAAAAGCCUACCAAGCCGAAGAUCGAUAGCCGGCCUGAGAGGGCACACGGCCACACUGGCACUGAAACACGGGCCAGACUCCUACGGGAGGCAGCAGUGGGGAAUCUUGCACAAUGGGGGAAACCCUGAUGCAGCGACGCCGCGUGAGCGGUGAAGCCCUUCGGGGGUGUAAAGCUCUUUCGGCAGGAACGAUAAUGACGGUACCUGCAGAAGAAGCUGCGGCUAACUACGUGCCAGCAGCCGCGGU
rnacentral:rRNA from 1 species